UACGUAGGGUGCGAGCGUUAAUCGGAAUUACUGGGCGUAAAGUGUGCGCAGGCGGCCGCGCAAGUCGAGUGUGAAAUCCCCGAGCUUAACUUGGGAAUUGCGCUCGAAACUACGUGGCUGGAGUAUGGCAGAGGAAGGUGGAAUUCCACGUGUAGCGGUGAAAUGCGUAGAGAUGUGGAGGAACACCGGUGGCGAAGGCAGCCCCCUGGGCCAACACUGACGCUCAGACGCGAAAGCGUGGGGAGCAAACAGG
rnacentral:rRNA from 1 species